rnacentral:rRNA from 1 species
AACGAACGCUGGCGGCAUGCCUAACACAUGCAAGUCGAACGAGACCUUCGGGUCUAGUGGCGCACGGGUGCGUAACGCGUGGGAACCUGCCCUUAGGUUCGGAAUAACUCCCCGAAAGGGGUGCUAAUACCGGAUAAUGUCUUCGGACCAAAGAUUUAUCGCCUUUGGAUGGGCCCGCGUUUGAUUAGCUAGUUGGUAGGGUAAAAGCCUACCAAGGCGACGAUCCAUAGCUGGUCUGAGAGGAUGAUCAGCCACACUGGGACUGAGACACGGCCCAGACUCCUACGGGAGGCAGCAGUGGGGAAUAUUGGACCAUGGGCGAAAUCCUGAUCCAGCAAUGCCGCGUGAGUGAUGAAGGCCUUAGGGUUGUAAAGCUCUUUUACCCGGGAUGAUAAUGACAGUACCGGGAGAAUAAGCUCCGGCUAACUCCGUG